rnacentral:rRNA from 1 species
GACGAGCGGCGGACGGGUGAGUAAUGUCUGGGAAACUGCCUGAUGGAGGGGGAUAACUACUGGAAACGGUAGCUAAUACCGCAUAACGUCGCAAGACCAAAGUGGGGGACCUUCGGGCCUCAUGCCAUCAGAUGUGCCCAGAUGGGAUUAGCUAGUAGGUGGGGUAAUGGCUCACCUAGGCGACGAUCCCUAGCUGGUCUGAGAGGAUGACCAGCCACACUGGAACUGAGACACGGUCCAGACUCCUACGGGAGGCAGCAGUGGGGAAUAUUGCACAAUGGGCGCAAGCCUGAUGCAGCCAUGCCGCGUGUAUGAAGAAGGCCUUCGGGUUGUAAAGUACUUUCAGCGAGGAGGAAGGCGUUAAGGUUAAUAACCUUGGCGAUUGACGUUACUCGCAGAAGAAGCACCGGCUAACUCCGUGCCAGCAGCCGCGGUAAUACGGAGGGUGCAAGCGUUAAUCGGAAUUACUGGGCGUAAAGCGCACGCAGGCGGUCUGUCAAGUCGGAUGUGAAAUCCCCGGGCUCAACCUGGGAACUGCAUUCGAAACUGGCAGGCUAGAGUCUUGUAGAGGGGGGUAGAAUUCCAGGUGUAGCGGUGAAAUGCGUAGAGAUCUGGAGGAAUACCGGUGGCGAAGGCGGCCCCCUGGACAAAGACUGACGCUCAGGUGCGAAAGCGUGGGGAGCAAACAGGAUUAGAUACCCUGGUAGUCCACGCCGUAAACGAUGUCGACUUGGAGGUUGUGCCCUUGAGGCGUGGCUUCCGGAGCUAACGCGUUAAGUCGACCGCCUGGGGAGUACGGCCGCAAGGUUAAAACUCAAAUGAAUUGACGGGGGCCCGCACAAGCGGUGGAGCAUGUGGUUUAAUUCGAUGCAACGCGAAGAACCUUACCUACUCUUGACAUCCAGAGAACUUAGCAGAGAUGCUUUGGUGCCUUCGGGAACUCUGAGACAGGUGCUGCAUGGCUGUCGUCAGCUCGUGUUGUGAAAUGUUGGGUUAAGUCCCGCAACGAGCGCAACCCUUAUCCUUUGUUGCCAGCGGUCCGGCCGGGAACUCAAAGGAGACUGCCAGUGAUAAACUGGAGGAAGGUGGGGAUGACGUCAAGUCAUCAUGGNCCCUUACGAGUAGGGCUACACACGUGCUACAAUGGCAUAUACAAAGAGAAGCGACCUCGCGAGAGCAAGCGGACCUCAUAAAGUAUGUCGUAGUCCGGAUUGGAGUCUGCAACUCGACUCCAUGAAGUCGGAAUCGCUAGUAAUCGUAGAUCAGAAUGCUACGGUGAAUACGUUCCCGGGCCUUGUACACACCGCCCGUCACACCAUGGGAGUGGGUUGCUAAAGAAGUAGGUAGCUCAACC